CGCCCAUGUCUUCGCAGUUCAAAGACAUCCUCCCAGAUUUCGUCCGCAAUCAUCCCACGAUUUGGCUGUAUCCCGUUCGAAUCAAACACUCCAUCCAAGCUUCACGGAACAGAGCAUCCUCUCACGGGAUAAACUCAACGUCCCAACUCAUCUCCCCUUCAUCCCGUGUGCAUGCCAUUAGGACCCAAGGAACAGAUUCUGCAUCCCCUGCAUCCGCAACAUCCCAAACUUCCACACAUGGAUCCCAACCUUCUUCUCAUUCCAGAUUGAAUUUAGCUUUCCAUCACCCACGGAUAAGCCCAAAUCCAGCACUCCAUCCUAUUAUCCUUAUCCUGUAAUCACCCAGAUCUCUCAUCAUCUCAUCUGCAUCUCCCCAACUUCUUCCGCUAGAUCCCAGCAAGGAUGAGCCUUCCGAACUCCCAGAUUUCAUCCAAGCAUCCGUUCGAGCUCCCUUGUUUCAUGCAUCUUAAUCUCCCGCGUGAAUCCCAAACGUAUCUCUCCCAUGUCAUGGCUUCUGAUCCCUCUUCCCAGACUUUACGGAAACAAAACAGAGCAGUUUCCUUUCCUCCCGUAUCCACAGAU
rnacentral:lncRNA from 1 species